GUAAAAUAUAGACCAAAAGGAAAAUAAAAAAUAAUAAAAAUGAUCAGUAAACAGGUAUCCAGGCAAAUCCACUAGUGGUACCAUGUGAGUAUAUAAAUUGCCUACUAAUUCAUGGAGCAAUGUAAUCUCAACUCAUGGAUACAAAGUCUCCACUCAAAGGAACAAAAUGAUGUUGGAGUAACAAGUUAAUACUAUUAAGUCACUCUUCAGGCAAAAUAAUACAAAGUAUCCUUAUAGUCUAAACAAUUGUCCGUUAGCCUCCAGGCCGUGUUAUUUAGAACUCAAAUCUGCCAAUUUUGCAUCUAUUUUAUAUAAGACAGCCUUUCGUCUUUCAGUGGAUAUGGCCACAUUAGCAUUGCCAAGUAAACACAGGGCCAUUUGUGCCCAUUCAUGUACCAAAUGUGGGUCCAAGGUACCUUCUGUGAUAGAUUCAUCACCUAAUAUGAAAAUUUGAAUAAUGGGACCAGCAAUGUUUGUCCUGAACCGCCUUUAGACCCUGUUCAAGACCUUUGUGGGGGUCUUUACUCGACUUGCCAAAGAACAUAAUCAGGAAAGGAUCAAAUUGAGGCGUAAGAGCCACCUUAUCUGGUAUAGUUUGAUGAGGACAUUCUGCCCUCAACUUGUUCCGAAUCUCUUUUUCAAGUGGUUUGUGGAGCCACAUUCUGCAGAAUUAAGCUAUAUGGUCCUGUGGUGCCCACUCACUCAAGUGGUGAUGCUUGAAAAUCCCCAAGAACUAGCUUCAAACACCUUAUUGGUAUAUAAUAAGGUGUCUGAAGAUUUAUUCUUGGUUUGGGGAGGAUUAACUGGGUUAGAAGCUUGGGAAACGAGACGCUGGUUAACAAAGGACUCCUUGACAUAAGGAGUAUUGUGUUGAGCAAGCGGAGAAGUUCAUUAUCAGAGUACCCUGCACAGUACUCAUUUACAACUUGUAGGUCAUAGUUCGAUGUCGAACCUUCCAUUGGGUCGAUUAUUUGAUGGCUCGUGGAGGUAUGAGCUAACCUAUGGGUUUUAGCCAGUACCUUUACCGGCUGAAGCCCUGUUGCCCUUCCAGGGAUGCUUGCCCCUUCAUGGUCAGACUCAUUAUGAGAAUCCUCCGAAUCAUAGAGAUUUUGAGUGACAUGGUUUGGGAACAGGAUUAGACUGUAUAGCUUUGGGCAUAGACUCUGCUAUUGCAGAGAAAAGCCAAGAUUUGAGCUCAGCAGAAACAGUAAAGUCUGAUUGGUCAGACAUGUUAGCAAUGCUAUGGGAAAUGUCAACAGCAAAGUAAAAAACUACCAAGAUAUUAGAUAAUAUAAUCAAUAAGCAAAAUGGUAGCUUAAUUUAAUAAUAAAAUUGAUUAAAAUAAUACUAAAUAAUUGAAAACAAAGGAGAAAAAGGGGGCCACCCUUUGAUAAUAAUUGGGGGUCACCCAAGUGGCGUAUAUGGGGGUUGCCCAAUGUUGCAAUAAUAAGUGGGGGUCACCCACAGUAUAUAUUGUAAGACAAGACGUGGCAAGUAGCUAUCAAGCGGAAAUAAAAUACCGCUAUAGCAAAAACAAGGGUCACCUGUUAUAAUAAAGUGGGUCACUCUUUAGCAGAUAUUGCUUGGAUUAUUUGAGUAAGUCACUGUGGCGAAAGUGACCUAGCCACUGGUUUUUGGAGGAGCCUGUUUGCCAGCCUCCUACCUGUCAGUAUAUUUAUAUCGCCAGACAUUUUGUGCUAAGACAGAAAUUGAAAGUGUAUAUUGCCAGUGACAUUUAGAACAUAGGUGACUCCAUUUUUUUAUUUACAGGCUAAGUAAGACACAUAAUUCUUGCCUUCUGUAACUCCAGCCUGUGCUAAGGAAUGCGUUAUGUAAACACACCAAGAAGGGGGAUGGAUUACUAAGUCCAAAG